CCAAUAGCGUAUAUUAAAGUUGUUGCAGUUAAAAAGCUCGUAGUUGAAUUUCGGGGUUCUACCGUCGGUCGGGCUAACAAGUCUGUACUGGUGUGUAGAAUUUCUACCUUCUGGGGAACUAUCAUGUUAUUAAUUUAGCGUGGUGGGAAACCAGGACCUUUACCUUGAAAAAAUUAGAGUGUUCAAAGCAGGCUUACGUCUGAAUACAUUAGCAUGGAAUAAUAGAAUAGGACGGUGGUCCUGUUUUGUUGGUUUCUGAAUCACCGUAAUGAUUAAUAGUGAUAGUUGGGGGCAUUAGUAUUCAAUUGUCAGAUGUGAAAUUCUUGGAUCUAUUGAAGACUAACUUCUGCGAAAGCAUUUGCCAAGGAUGUUUUCAUUAAUCAAGAACGAAAGUUAGGGGAUCGAAGACGAUCAGAUACCGUCGUAGUCUUAACCAUAAACUAUGCCGACUAGGGAUCGGACGAUGUUAAAUUUUAUUGACUCGUUCGGCGCCUUACG
rnacentral:rRNA from 1 species